GGAGGCGUGCCCGAAUUGGUCAAGGGGUCGGUCUUGAAAAUCGAUGGGACGAUGUCCCGUGUGGGUUCGAGUCCCACCGCCUCCGCCA
rnacentral:tRNA from 1 species